CGAAGUUUCCCUCAGGAUAGCUGGCACUCGUAACAAACGAGUCACGUCCGAUAGAGCGAAUGACUAGGGGUGUUGGGGCCGCAAUGGCCUCAGUCCAUUCUCAAACUUCCAAUGGGCGAAGUUGCCCGGCCGGCCUAACUUUGCGCGGCCGCGGCCACGGAUCGGAGUGCCUAGUGGGCCAUUUUUGGUAAGCAGAACUGGCGCUGUGGGAUGAACCAAACGGCCGGCUAAGGGGCCUAAAUCGGAGCUAAUCAGAUCCCAAUGAAGGCAGUUGCUAGCUAGAGACAGCAGGACGGUGGCCAUGGAAGUUGGCAUCCGCUAAGGAGUGUGUAACGACUCACCUGCCGAAGCUAGUAGCGCCUAAAAUGGCAUGGCGCUCAAGCUCCGUCCCGAUACCGGUCCGCCGGCGGCACUAAUGGCUCUUCCAUAGCGAGAGACCUCGAGGCCCCGGCGAGUAGGAAGGCGCAGCGGAGAGCGUUGAAGGCUUCGGUGUGAACCGGGCUGGAGCCUCCGCUGGUGCAGAUCUUGGUGGUAGUAGCAA
rnacentral:rRNA from 1 species